rnacentral:rRNA from 1 species
UGAAUUUUAAAGGGCCGCGGUAUUUCUGACCGUGCGAAGGUAGCAUAAUCAUUAGUCUUUUAAUUUGAGGCUCGUAUGAAUGGUCGGACGAGGGAUAAACUGUUUCAAAUAAAAAACUCGAAUUUAACUUUUAAGUGAAAAGGCUUAAAUACUUCAAAAAGACGAUAAGACCCUAUAAAUCUUAACAUUAAGCUUUAUAUUAUUCUAGCUUAUUAGUGUAAAGAAACCUAUAAAGAAAAUGUUGUGUUGGGGCAACAAAGAUAUAUAAAACAGCUGUCUUAUUAUUCAAACAAAAAUAAUUGAACUUUUUAGAUCCUUAUUAAAGAUUUUAAGAUCAAGUUACUUUAGGGAUAACAGCGUUAUUCUUUUUAAGAGUCCUCAUCGAAAAAAGAGUUUGCGACCUCGAUGUUGAAUUAGAAGAUCA